GACGAACGCUGGCGGCGUGCUUAACACAUGCAAGUCGAACGCUGAAGACCUGGCUUUUGUUGGGUUGGAUGAGUGGCGAACGGGUGAGUAACACGUGAGUAACCUGCCCUCUUCUUUGGGAUAACGCCCGGAAACGGGUGCUAAUACUGGAUAUUCACUGAUCUUCGCAUGGGGGUUGGUGGAAAGGUUUGUUCUGGUGGGGGAUGGGCUCGCGGCCUAUCAGCUUGUUGGUGGGGUGAUGGCCUACCAAGGCUUUGACGGGUAGCCGGCCUGAGAGGGUGACCGGUCACAUUGGGACUGAGAUACGGCCCAGACUCCUACGGGAGGCAGCAGUGGGGAAUAUUGCACAAUGGGCGAAAGCCUGAUGCAGCGACGCCGCGUGAGGGAUGGAGGCCUGCGGGUUGUAAACCUCUUUCGCUCAUGGUCAAGCCGCAACUGUGGGUUGUGGUGGGGGUAGUGGGUAAAGAAGCGCCGGCUAACUACGUG
rnacentral:rRNA from 1 species